GUAAGUCGCUUUGGGUAAAAGCGUCUGCUAAAUGGCAUAUUAUUAUAUUAUAUUAUCAGUGGUUUGGGAGAAUAAUGUCCUUUUAAGGUAGACACAAUUUCAUCAUAUGAUUUAUCACCAGGUCUUUCAGGGUUGCGCAGUAGAUUGAAUGUUUUUCCUCCCAUAACAGUCAAAAAUGUUGGCACAACGACUUCUGCUUUAAUUCCAUUUGCCAACACAAAGUACUCAAAACGUUCUGUGUAAGAACUCCAUUGUUCCACAGAUUCAUCAAAUGUUCCUAUAUUUCCAAUCAAUGCAGACAUUUUCGGUUUAUUUUUAUUUAUUUUAACUCACGAUGACUUCACUUUCUCCCGCAGCGAAACUCUUCCUAUCCCUCGAGGCUCUCGUUGCCGUGACAUCAAAGGCUAACUAGCAUCACUCCACUGGCUAGCUCCACGUUAUGUUUGCGUAUUUCUACAGCGAAAAAAAAAAAACGAAUUUAACUCAGACUUUCUGCGGAAGACGAUGAGCACAAACGUGAGAACGUUUCUUCCUCGUCGCCAGUUUUGUUGUAUAGCACACUGUAUUACUUAUACAACUAAUAUAAGGACAGGACAUGAGACGGGAGUAGAAAUUAACGUGGGCACUGUUUAAAUGCGUUUCACAGGAAAACAUUCCAAGCAUUUCAACGAAGUAUCCGUAUUCAGAGAGUCACCUCUACAGCAGCCCUCUCUCAACACCUUCAGCAGCAGGUUUUGGCUCAACCGGAGAGGGAAGGCAUUGAGCUGGACACCCUCAACUCACCGGCUCAAUCAGGGUAUUUGUUGAUGCCAGCACCCUGAAGAAGAGGAGGCAGAGUGUUCUGGACCAGCUGGGAGGCUUCAGUCAGCAAGGGGCUGUCUAUAAUGUCCUGGGUGUGUGCAGCUCACUCACUGCUGAGCGCGUCUGAAUCGCAUGUAUAGUAAAGUGUCCGAGAGGAGUGAGGUUGCCAGGAAACCAUCAGUGCUGGUGCUCCCCAGUCU